AGAGUUUGAUCAUGGCUCAGGACGAACGCUGGCGGCGUGCUUAACACAUGCAAGUCGAGCGGAAAGGCCCUUUCGGGGGUACUCGAGCGGCGAACGGGUGAGUAACACGUGAGUAAUCUGCCCUUGGCUUUGGGAUAACUACCGGAAACGGUGGCUAAUACCGGAUAUGACCAUGCUCGGCAUCGGGUGUGGUGGAAAGUUUUUCGGCCAGGGAUGUGCUCGCGGCCUAUCAGCUUGUUGGUGGGGUAAUGGCCUACCAAGGCUUCGACGGGUAGCCGGCCUGAGAGGGUGACCGGCCACACUGGGACUGAGACACGGCCCAGACUCCUACGGGAGGCAGCAGUGGGGAAUAUUGGACAAUGGGCGGAAGCCUGAUCCAGCAACGCCGCGUGAGGGAUGACGGCCUUCGGGUUGUAAACCUCUUUCAGUACCGACGAAGCGCCGAUGAUGGUGGUGACGGUAGGUACAGAAGAAGCACCGGCCAACUACGUG
rnacentral:rRNA from 1 species